rnacentral:rRNA from 1 species
GACGAACGCUGGCGGCGUGCUUAACACAUGCAAGUCGAACGGAAAGGCCAGGCUUUUGUGGCGUGCUCGAGUGGCGAACGGGUGAGUAACACGUGAGUAAACUGCCCUUGACUGUGGGAUAACUUCAGGAAACUCGGGAUCAUACAGGGUAGGAGAUCCUGCUGCAUGGUGGUGGAUGGAAAGUGUCGGCGGUGGGGGAUGGACUAGCGGCUUAUCAGCUUGAUGGUCGGGUAGGUGAUUACCAAGGGUUUGACGGGUAGCCGGCCUGAGAGGGUGACCGGCGACAAUGGGCCUGAGAUACGGCGCAGAAGCCUACGGGAGGCAGCAGGCGGGAAUAUUACACAAUGGGCGGACGCCUGAGGCAGCAACGCCGCGUGCGGGAUGCCGUCUUUCUGGUGGUAAACCGCUGUGGCCGGUGAUGAAGCGUGCGUGACGGUAAUUGGUAAAGAAGCACCGGCUAACUACGUG